rnacentral:tRNA from 1 species
GCCGGCGUAGCUCAGUGGUAGAGCAAGGUCUUCAUAAGGCCGGGGUCGCAGGUUCAAAUCCUGCCGUCGGCA